UACGGGGGGGCGAAGCGUUGUUCGGAAUUACUGGGCGUAAAGGGCUCGUAGGUGGCCAACUAAGUCAGACGUGAAAUCCCCAGGCUCAACUUGGGAACUGCGUCUGAUACUGGAUGGCUUGAAUUCGGGAGAGGGAUGCAGAAUUCCAGGUGUAGCGGUGAAAUGCGUAGAUAUCUGGAGGAAUACCGGUGGCGAAGGCGGCAUCCUGGACCAAUACUGACGCUCAUGUGCGAAAGCGUGGGGAGCAAACAGG
rnacentral:rRNA from 1 species